AGGGUUUGAUUCUGGCUCAGGAUGAACGCUGGCGGCGUGCUUAACACAUGCAAGUCGAACGGACGGAUUGGAGCUUGCUCCAUGAAGUUAGUGGCGGACGGGUGAGUAACGCGUGGGUAACCUGCCCUAUGCAGGGGGAUAACGUUUGGAAACGAACGCUAAUACCGCAUAACCUAGUUGGUUCGCAUGAACCGACUAGCAAAGAUUUUAUCGGCAUAGGAUGGACCCGCGUUGGAUUAGCUAGUUGGUGAGAUAACAGCCCACCAAGGCAACGAUCCAUAGCCGGCCUGAGAGGGUGAACGGCCACACUGGGACUGAGACACGGCCCAG
rnacentral:rRNA from 1 species